rnacentral:rRNA from 1 species
GAGCCGGAGGUAUUUAGCAAUAAAUACUUCAGCGGCGGACGGGUGAGUAACGCGUGAGCAAUCUGGCCAUAUCAGGGGGAUAACAUUGAGAAAUCAGUGCUAAUACCGCAUAAGACCACGAGAUCGCAUGGUUUCGAGGUAAAAGGCGCAAGCCGGAUAAGGAUGAGCUCGCGUCCCAUUAGCUAGUUGGUGAGGUAACGGCCCACCAAGGCUACGAUGGGUAGCCGGACUGAGAGGUUGAACGGCCACACUGGGACUGAGACACGGCCCAGACUCCUACGGGAGGCAGCAGUGGGGAAUAUUGGGCAAUGGGCGAAAGCCUGACCCAGCAACGCCGCGUGAGUGAAGAAGGUCUUCGGAUUGUAAAACUCUGUCUCGAGGGACGAAAAAAAUGACGGUACCUUGAGAGGAAGCCCCGGCUAACUACGUGCCAGCAGCCGCGGUAAUACGUAGGGGGCGAGCGUUGUCCGGAAUUACUGGGCGUAAAGGGCGUGUAGGCGGCCUGCUAAGUCGCAUGUGAAAUCCACGGGCUCAACUUGUGGUG